rnacentral:misc_RNA from 1 species
GAUGAAGAACGUAGCGAAAUGCGAUAAGUAAUGUGAAUUGCAGAAUUCAGUGAAUCAUCGAAUCUUUGAACGCACAUUGCGCCCGCCAGUAUUCUGGCGGGCAUGCCUGUUCGAGCGUCAUUUCAACCAUCAAGCCCCCGGCUUGUGUUGGGGACCUGCGGCUGCCGCAGGCCCUGAAAAGCAGUGGCGGGCUCGCUGUCACACCGAGCGUAGUAGCAUACAUCUCGCUCUGGGCGUGCUGCGGGUUCCGGCCGUUAAACCACCUUCAUAACCCAAGGUUGACCUCGGAUCAGAUAGGAAGACCCGCUGAACUUAAGCAUAUCAAUAAGCGGAGGA